CAUGUAAGUUAUGUAAGCUCCUUCGGUUAGUUACCUUUAAAUCUUUGAUAGCGGUGCAGUUUCUAAGCAAUUUCCAUUAGUGAUCACUGUAUGUAGGCUUUAGGAAGCGAUGGGUGUGCACCAUGCAUUCUUUUGUUCAGUUCCAGAAAUUGCUUAAUAGUAUUUCAGGAUGGGAGUUAAAUUGGAGGAUGUUUACACAGCAAUUACUAGGUACUAAACUAACCAUGCGGCGAAACUCCUUGUUUUUAGUCCAAGAAGCACUGAUCUGAAUCAUAUCGUGUCACCACUGAUGAGUAGCUUGUAGUGGAUCUUUGCAAAUCCACUAUUUCAAUAUGUUACACCACAGGAAUUAAGGAGCAAAUUUUAAAACAACUCUUAUUUGUUUUCAUUCCUUUACAUUAACUUGCCAGCUGGGCUGAUGGAGGGGUGCGUUCAAACAAAUGAUUUCCUGCUCUCUUUCUGAAAACUACCAGUUAUCAGGUGCAUAGACCCACAACAUUCAAGCAUGACCUUAUUACAAAUUGAAGGGCAUUUUAAUUACACAACAUAUGGGGGGGAGGGGGACACACAACCCAACGGGGCUCUGUCUGCAGAUGUAUCCUGCUAUGUUAUAAAAUGCGUGCAGAGAUCUCAUCAACGUGCAGCAGCGGCUGUUAUCAAAACAAUGCACCACGCCACGGCCUUAAUUGUCAAUGCAAUUAAACAGCGAGAGGCUCUUACCUUUCGGACCCCACUAAAGCCAUAUUCGGCAGCGAGUUGCUUCGCUUCUGGCUCGCCCCCUCGGUGCAACUCCACCAAAAAAUGAUUCGUGUAGACGGCUAUUUCAGCGGAUGCCAAAAGAAGGAGACCCAGGCACAAGAGCCCAGCGAUGGUCCCCGGGGUAAUGCAGCCUCCCUUCAUGGCUCUUGCCUAGUAGAGGGAGAGAAUAAAUACACUAACCCGCCGCCGAGGAGAGUAAAGAUUUGGGGGGAGGCUAAGCCGGGUGCUGCUGAAUGCAGCACAUCAGCGUGUGCGCUCCCUCGGCAGCUGGCGCGGGGAGGAGGCGAGGCGGGGGAAGUCGGCUGGGCGGCUCGUGAGCUGCUGCGGGUGGGUCUGUGCGCGGGGGGUUCGCGGCCAGAUCUGCAUUGUCAGCUCCUCCUCGCCGCUAGUUCCGCGGCGGCUCCAGGAAAGCACCAACCGGCCGAGGUGAACAAGGGCCCUACUGGCAAGUGGGGGAUGAAGGCUGGAGCCACAGGCUAAGAGCUUUUAAAGUGUUGAUAUGCUAUAAACAGAGACCCUUUGUACUUAUACACCACACACACACACACACACACACACAAGACUAGAGGCAGAGAACAGAGGCAGCAUAUAAGGAGAUGUAGUGGUCUUGAAUUGAAACACUUUCAAUGUGAAAGUAAUUCAGUGUUCCUGUGUUGGAUACACUGCCCUCCAAGCAGGAUGUACAAGCUGUAACCAGGACAGUGGACUAGAGGGACAGCAUCAGCUGAGACAUAAAAGCAGAUUAUUUAGUACAACAGUGGAUGAGUAGCAAUAUCUGCAAGCAAAGUCUACCUUAAAUAAAGACAAUGGGUAAAGUCUUGGCCUCA
ensembl:lncRNA